UUUUCCUCAGGAUCUGGCCAAUAUUGGACCGUCGUAUGACACCCAGAAGCAGAUUACGGCUAUCACGGGUGCUGGAGGUUUAAAUGGUGGAUCGACUUUUUCAGGUGGGCUUCCUCCAGCUGCUACAGGUAAAGGCCGAGGAGCCAAACGCAAACAGCAGCAGCAACAGGACGGAGCCGCGGCUGGAACGGCCAAGAGAAC